UUCUGGAUGUAAAUUGACCAGAGUACUAUGAAUAAUAAAGAUUUAAAACUCAAAGAACUUGGCGGUGUUUUAGACCACUUAGGGGAACCUGUCUCGUAAUCGAUAAUCCACGUUGCACCUGACCUCUCUUUGUUUUUCAGUUUGUAUACCGUUGUCGUCAGGUAACUUUUUAGAAAUUAGAAGUUAGCAAUUGAAAAUAUGAUUUAAUACGUCAAAUCAAGGUGCAGCUAAUAGAGAGGGGAGGAUGGGUUACAAUUAUAAUUUAUAAUAACGGAAGGCGGACUUGAAAGUAAAUUAAAUGUAAAUAAUUUGAAUUAGGCUCUGAAACGUGU
rnacentral:rRNA from 1 species